rnacentral:rRNA from 1 species
CCUACGGGAGGCAGCAGUGGGGAAUUUUGGACAAUGGGCGAAAGCCUGAUCCAGCAAUGCCGCGUGAGUGAAGAAGGCCUUCGGGUUGUAAAGCUCUUUUGUCAGGGAAGAAACGGUGAGAGCUAAUAUCUCUUGCUAAUGACGGUACCUGAAGAAUAAGCACCGGCUAACUACGUGCCAGCAGCCGCGGUAAUACGUAGGGUGCAAGCGUUAAUCGGAAUUACUGGGCGUAAAGCGUGCGCAGGCGGUUUUGUAAGUCUGAUGUGAAAUCCCCGGGCUCAACCUGGGAAUUGCAUUGGAGACUGCAAGGCUAGAAUCUGGCAGAGGGGGGUAGAAUUCCACGUGUAGCAGUGAAAUGCGUAGAUAUGUGGAGGAACACCGAUGGCGAAGGCAGCCCCCUGGGUCAAGAUUGACGCUCAUGCACGAAAGCGUGGGGANCAAACAGGAUUAGAUACCCUGGUAGUCCACGCCCUAAACGNUGUCUACUGUUGUCGGUACUUAUGUAUUGUACGCAGCACGCGUGAGAGACGCGNGGAGCGCGCGAGAGUAACGUACGAAGAGUAGAGAGAGAGAGNGCGACGACGACGACGGAGGGAGGNG